GUAACAGGAGGAAAAGAAAGUAAAAACGAUUUUCUAAGUAGCGGCGAGCGAACGGGAAAGAGCCUAAACCAUAGUAGUGCCAAGAGGGUAUCGUUGCUAUUAUGGGGUAGAGGGUAUAUAUUAGUCAAUUACCAUAAGACAGUAUGAGUAUACUACGAAGCAGAACAUAACUGGAAAGUUAGACCAAAGAAGGUGAUAGUCCUGUAGGGCGUAAAUAGUAUAUGAGUAUAUAUAUAACCCGAGUAGCAUCAAGCACGAGGAAUUUGGUGUGAAUCAGUGUGGACCAUAUCACAUAAGGCUAAAUACUUUUACUAAGCGAUAGUGGAGAGUACCGUGAGGGAAAGGUGAAAAGAACCCUGAGUAAGGGAGUGAAAUAGAAUUUGAAACCGUACGCUUACAAGCGGUAGGAGCCCUAAGGGGUGACUGCGUGGAUUUUGGUUAAUCAUCCUGCGAGUUAUGAUAUAUGGCGAGGUUAAGUAAAGCGGAGCCGAAGGGAAACCGAGUCUUAAAAGGGCGAUAGUCGUAUGUUAUAGACGCGAAACCUAGUGAUCUAUGCCUGACCAAGUUGAAGCAAAGGUAAGACUUUGUGGAGGACUGAACUCACCGCCGUUGAAAUGAUGGGAGAUGAGUUAGGUAUAGGGGUGAAAAGCCAAUCGAACUAGGAGAUAGCUCGUUCUCUCCGAAAUGCAUUUAGGUGCAGCCUUAAUAGAAGAUAUGUGGGGGUAGAGCACUGUUUGACCUAGCGGGCGUAUAGCUUAGUGAAGUCAUGCAAACUACGAAUACCAUAUAUUAAUAAUUAGGAGUGAGACUAUGGAUGAUAAGGUCCAUGGUCGAGAGGGGAAAAGCCCAGACCAACAGCUAAGGUCCCAAAUUAUGUCUAAGUGGGAAAGGAGGUGGAUAUUCAGAAACAACCAGGAGGUUGGCUUAGAAGCAGCCAUACCUUGAAAGAGUGCGUAACAGCUCACUGGUCGAGAGUAUCUGCGCCGAAGAUUUAACGGGGCUAAGACAUAAACCGAAGCUUUGGAACAUAUGUAAAUAUGUUGGUAGGAGAGCGUUCUGUAAGCUGUAGAAGGAGAGUUGAAAGACGAUCUGGAGGUAUCAGAAGUGAGAAUGCAGGAAUGAGUAGCGAGAAAGUAUGUGAGAAUCAUACUGGCCGGAAGUCCAAGGAUUCCACGGCAAUGUUUGUCAGCCGUGGGGGAGUCGGGACCUAAGUGAAGACAGGGAUGUCAUAGCGAAUGGAAAAUAGGUUAAUAUUCCUAUACCACUAAAUCAACGAUUGAAGGGAUGGAGUGACGCAGGAAGGUAUGUGAGAUAACUGACGGAAUAGUUAUUCUAAGCCAAUAGCGUGAUUAUAUAGGCAAAUCCGUAUAAUUAAACGUGAAAGGUGAUGGGUAAGCACAAUAAGUGUAAGUCACAGAUCCUACACUGCCGAGAAAAACUUCUACUGAGGAGAUUAAGUGCCCGUACCGUAAACCGACACAGGUGGACAGGGUGAGAAACCUAAGGCCGACAGGAUAACUCUAGCUAAGGAACUCUGCAAAAUAGCCCCGUAACUUCGGGAGAAGGGGUGCCUAUGGUAAGUGAGAAGAUAAGUACUUCGAAGCUGAGAUAGGCCGCAGUGAAGAGUCCCAAGCAACUGUUUACCAAAAACACAGGUCUAUGCUAAGCCGGAAGGCGACGUAUAUGGGCUGACACCUGCCCAGUGCCGGAAGGUUAAGAGGAGGAUUGAGAGAUUCGAAUUGAAGCCCCGGUGAACGGCGGCC
rnacentral:rRNA from 2 species